rnacentral:rRNA from 1 species
UACGUAGGGUGCAGGCGUUAAUCGGAAUUACUGGGCGUAAAGCGUGCGCAGGCGGCUUGCUAAGACAGGUGUGAAAUCCCCGGGCUUAACCUGGGAACUGCGCUUGUUACUGGCGUGCUGGAGUGUGGCAGAGGGAGGUGGAAUUCCACGUGUAGCAGUGAAAUGCGUAGAGAUGUGGAGGAACACCGAUGGCGAAGGCAGCCUCCUGGGCCAGCACUGACGCUCAUGCACGAAAGCGUGGGGAGCAAACAGG